GGGGGAAACACCAUGCUAGAACUCUGCGUUUUUAAACAAAGCGAGGCAGGGUCGUUUUCUAUCCCCUUAGCCAGAUCUAAGGCGGAGCCAAAGAAUGAGUACCCUGUAAGAGCCGCCUCUAUCGCCGCCCCCUGCCCCCGGCCCGCUGAAGAAUUAAGAAUACAAAAAGCUGAACCCACAGAUAAAGCAUUUGCAAUUUAACUUCCAAAGAAAAAAAAAUUAAGCCACACAAUUCAUAUGAAAAGCUCUGCUGUAGGCCGGGUGCGGUGGCUCAAGCCUGUAAUCCCAGUACUUUGGGAGGCCGGGGUGGGUGGAUCACCUGAGGUCAAGAGUUCUAGAUCAGCCUUACCAACAUGGUGAAACCCUGUCUCCACUAAAAAUACAAAAAAUCGAUGGGUGUUGUGGUGGGCACCUGUAAUCCCAGCUGCUCGGGAAGCUGAGGCAUGAGAACCACUUGAACCCAGAAGAUGGAGGUUGCAGUGAGCCGAAAUCACGCCACUGCACUCCAGCCUGGAUGACAGAGCCAGACCCUGUCUCAGAAAAAAAAAAAAGAAGAAAGAGAGAGAGAAAGGAAGAAAGAAAGGAAAGAAAGAAAGAAAAAGAAAGAAAGAAAAGCUCUGCUGUAAAGUAGGAAUUAGGUUCAUUUCAAAAAUUCACAGUACAGGCCGGGCUUACGCCUGUAAUCCCAGCACUUUGGGAGGCCAAGGCGGGCGGAUCACUUGAGGUCAGGAGUUCGAGACCAACCUGGCCAACAUGGUGAAACCCCCUCUCUACUAAAAAUACAAAAAAUUAGCCAGGUGUCGUGGUGCAUGCCUGUAAUCCCAGCUACUUGAGAGGCUGAGGCAGGAGAAUCGCUUGAACCCGGGAGGCAGAGAUUGCAGUAAGCCAAGAUCGUGCCACUGCACUCCAGCCUGGGUGACAGAAUGAGACUCCAUCUCAAAAAAAAAAAAAUAAAAUUCACAGUACAUUAGACAUAGCCUACUGUUUAUUGGGCAGGAGUUUAUUAAACUGUUUAUUAAACUAAGAAAAAUUGAAAACUCAGGAAA
rnacentral:lncRNA from 10 species